rnacentral:misc_RNA from 1 species
ACGUAUCUCUGACGGGGUUCGGUGCGCCCUGCUCCGGCCCAAACGGCCGUGCAGCGGGUUCCCGUCCCUUUUCACACAUCACAAACCCACUGUGAACCUUCACGGCGGAGGGGAGGAGACUCCCCGAUGCCGCAUACCAAACUCCAGUCGUAAAGAAUGUCGUGCGGACUUGCGCCGCCUAAAACACAAAA